rnacentral:rRNA from 1 species
UAGUGAGUUUGAUCCUGGCUCAGAUUGAACGCUGGCGGCAUGCUUUACACAUGCAAGUCGAACGGCAGCGCGGGGCAACCUGGCGGCGAGUGGCGAACGGGUGAGUAAUAUAUCGGAACGUACCCAAGGAGUGGGGAUAACGUAGCGAAAGUUACGCUAAUACCGCAUACGAUCUAUGGAUGAAAGUGGGGGAUCGCAAGACCUCAUGCUCCUGGAGCGGCCGAUAUCUGAUUAGCUAGUUGGUGAGGUAAAGGCUCACCAAGGCCACGAUCAGUAGCUGGUCUGAGAGGACGACCAGCCACACUGGAACUGAGACACGGGUCCAGACUCCUACGGGAGGCAGCAGUGGGGGAAUUUGGACAAUGGGCGCAAGCCCUGAUCCAGCAAUGCCGCGUGAGUGAAG